CCCAUAUCGGUAUCGGUUGGUGUAACGGUGCCCUCCGAAACCGAUACGGAUACGGGGGCGUAACGGCGCAAAUUUUUUUUUUCCCCAAAAAAUAUGGAUUAAAUCCGGAAUAUUCUAAGCAUUCCAAAUAUGCAUUCAUUUAUAAAUUGGAACAUGUUUAUGGUGGUGUAACGGUCCACUCUUUGGUGAGAAGUUGUAUCGAACUGUCUGAUGAAUUUAUGAACCAGAUAACCUGAAUUUGACUACAAAAUUCAUAUAUUUAAUUUUCUAACUAUCUACUAUCAAUGAUAGAUAUAUUAGAAUGAAUGUAAUAUAAAAAUAUCUUACAUUUAGGUGUUUGCAAUUAUUUUUGAGGGCCAAAAUUCAUGCAUAAAUAGAAAAAAAUAUAAAAAUAAAUAAAUAAAAUGGCACCCCAAAUAUGUAAAAUGCACAUUAACAUGUUCUACUAUGAUUAACACAUCAUACGGCAUCAUUAAAACAGCAAAAGAAUCAUUAAAAAAUGAUUUUUCGAAUUUUCAAAAAAAGGGCUGAAAUAAAUGCAAAAAAAUAGAAAAAAAUAUAAAAUGGCACCCCAAAUCUGUAAAAUGCACAUUAACAUGUUCUACUAUGAUUAACACAUCAUAUGGCAUCAUUAAAACAACAAAAGAAUCAUUAAAAAAUGAUUUUUCGAAUUUUCAAAAAAAAGGCCAAAAUAAAUGCGUAAAUAGAAAAAAAUAUAAAA